rnacentral:rRNA from 1 species
CCUACGGGCGGCAGCAGUAGGGAAUUUUCGUCAAUGGGCGCAAGCCUGAACGAGCAAUGCCGCGUGAACGAGGAAGGUCUUCGGAUCGUAAAGUUCUGUUGAAGGGGAAAAAGAGCGGAGAGAGGAAAUGGUCUCCGAUUGAUAUUACCCUUCGAGGAAGUCACGGCGAACUACGUGCCAGCAGCCGCGGUAAUACGUAGGUGGCGAGCGUUAUCCGGAUUGAUUGGGCGUAAAGGGUGCGUAGGCGGCCUGCUAAGUCUGGAGUGAAAGGUACCGGCUCAACCGGUACAGGCUCUGGAAACUGGCGGGCUAGAGAGCAGGAGAGGGAGGUGGAACUCCAUGUGUAGCGGUAAAAUGCGUAGAUAUAUGGAAGAACACUAGUGGCGAAGGUGGCCGCCUGGCCAGUUACUGACGCUGAGGCACGAAAGCGUGGGGAGCAAAUGGGAUUAGAUACCCGGGUAGUC